CCUGGAACUCACUUUGUAGUCUAGGCUGGCCUCAAAUUUACAGAGAUCCGACUGCCUCUGCAUCCUGAGUCCUGGGAU
rnacentral:miRNA from 1 species